rnacentral:rRNA from 1 species
AACGAACGCUGGCGGCAGGCCUAACACAUGCAAGUCGAACGCUGUAGCAGUACAGAGUGGCAGACGGGUGAGUAACGCGUGGGAACCUUCCCAAUGGUGCGGAAUAGCUCAGGGAAACUUGAGGUAAUACCGCAUAAGCCCUUAGGGGGAAAGAUUUAUCGCCAUUGGAUGGGCCCGCGUCGGAUUAGCUAGUUGGUGAGGUAAUGGCUCACCAAGGCAACGAUCCGUAGCUGGUUUGAGAGUAUGACCAGCCACACUGGGACUGAGACACGGCCCAGACUCCUACGGGAGGCAGCAGUGGGGAAUAUUGGACAAUGGGCGGAAGCCUGAUCCAGCAACGCCGCGUGAGGGAUGACGGCCUUCGGGUUGUAAACCUCUUUCAUCACCGACGAAGCCUUUGGGUGACGGUAGGUGGAGAAGAAGCACCGGCCAACUACGUGCCAGCAGCCGCAGUAA